ACGAGGGGUGCGAGCGUUGUUCGGAAUCACUGGGCGUAAAGGGAGCGUAGGCGGAGCGACAAGCGGUCUGUACAAUGCCGGGGCCUAACCCCGGACCUGCAGACCGGACUGCCGUUCUUGAGUCGUUCAGAGGCUGGCGGAAUUCCUGGUGUAGCGGUGGAAUGCGUAGAUAUCAGGAAGAACACCGAUGGCGAAGGCAGCCAGCUGGGGACGUACUGACGCUGAGGCUCGAAAGCGCGGGAAGCAAACAG
rnacentral:rRNA from 1 species